rnacentral:rRNA from 1 species
AUUGAACGCUGGCGGCAGGCCUAACACAUGCAAGUCGAACGAGUGGCGGACGGGUGAGUAAUGUAUGGGAAACUGCCCGCUGGAGGGGGAUAACUACUGGACACGGUAGCUAAUACCGCAUACCAUCUGAUGUGCCCAGAUGGGAUUAGCUAGUAGGUGGGGUAAUGGCUCAACUAGGCGACGAUCCCUAGCUGGUCUGAGAGGAUGACCAUCCAAACUGGAAAUGCGACACGGUCCAGACUCCUACGGCAGGCAGUCGUGGGGAAUAUUGCACAAUGGGCGCAAGCCUGAUGCAGCCAUGCCGCGUGUAUGAAGAAGGCCUGCGUGUUGUAAAGUACUUUCAGCGGGGAGGCGUUACCCGCAGAAGAAGCACCGGCUAACUCCGUGCCAGCAGCCGCGGUAAUAC